UACGUAGGGCGCAAGCGUUAUCCGGAAUUAUUGGGCGUAAAGAGCUCGUAGGCGGUUUGUCGCGUCUGCCGUGAAAGUCCGGGGCUCAACUCCGGAUCUGCGGUGGGUACGGGCAGACUAGAGUGCGGUAGGGGAGAUUGGAAUUCCUGGUGUAGCGGUGAAAUGCGCAGAUAUCAGGAGGAACACCGGUGGCGAAGGCGGGUCUCUGGGCCGAUACUGACGCUGAGGAGCGAAAGCGUGGGGAGCGAACAGG
rnacentral:rRNA from 1 species